UACGGAGGGUGCAAGCGUUGUCCGGAUUUAUUGGGUUUAAAGGGUGCGUAGGCGGCUAAUUAAGUCAGCGGUGAAAUUCCACAGCUCAACUGUGGAACUGCCAUUGAUACUGGUUGGCUUGAGUACAGAUGAGGUAGGCGGAAUUGACAGUGUAGCGGUGAAAUGCUUAGAUAUUGUCAAGAACACCUAUUGCGAAGGCAGCUUACUAAGCUGUAACUGACGCUGAGGCACGAAAGCGUGGGGAUCAAACAGG
rnacentral:rRNA from 1 species